UACGUAUGGUGCAAGCGUUAUCCGGAUUUACUGGGUGUAAAGGGAGCGUAGACGGUUGUGUAAGUCUGAAGUGAAAGCCCGGGGCUCAACCCCGGGACUGCUUUGGAAACUAUGCAGCUAGAGUGUCGGAGAGGUAAGUGGAAUUCCCAGUGUAGCGGUGAAAUGCGUAGAUAUUGGGAGGAACACCAGUGGCGAAGGCGGCUUACUGGACGAUGACUGACGUUGAGGCUCGAAAGCGUGGGGAGCAAACAGG
rnacentral:rRNA from 1 species